UACGAAGGAUGCAAGCGUUAUCCGGAUUUAUUGGGUUUAAAGGGAGCGUAGGCGGUCUUAUAAGUCAGUGGUGAAAUCUCGUUGCUUAACAACGACCGUGCCAUUGAUACUGUAGGACUUGAGUACAGUUGCCGUUGGCGGAAUGUGUCAUGUAGCGGUGAAAUGCAUAGAUAUGACACAGAACACCGAUUGCGAAGGCAGCUGACGAAACUGUAACUGACGCUGAGCUCGAAAGCGUGGGGAUCAAACAGG
rnacentral:rRNA from 1 species